rnacentral:tRNA from 1 species
AACCUUAGGUUAAAUCAAACCCUGGGCCUUCAAAGCCCAAAACAGGGGUCAACCCC